GAUCUGGUCAGAACGAACGCUGGCGGCGCGUUUAAGCAUGCACGUCGAGCGGCAAGGGCCUUCGGGCCCCUAGAGCGGCGGACGGGUGAGUAACACGUGGACAAUCUGCCCCCCGGCCCGGGAUAGCCCAGGGAAACCUGGAUUAAUACCGGAUGAGACGGGACCCGCGAUGGCGGGACCCGGGAAAGGCGCUGCGGCGCCGCCGGGGGAUGAGUCUGCGUCCCAUUAGCUAGACGGCGGGGUAACGGCCCACCGUGGCGACGAUGGGUAGCCGGCCUGAGAGGGUGGACGGCCACAUUGGAACUGAGACACGGUCCAGACUCCUACGGGAGGCAGCAGCUAAGAAUCUUCCGCAAUGGGCGAAAGCCUGACGGAAGCGACGCCGCGUGAACGAAGAAGGCCGUGAGGUUGUAAAGUUCUUUUCGGGAGGGGGAACAACCGUGGCAGGGAAUGGCCGCGGGAUGACGUGAAUCCCGGAAUAAGCCCCGGCUAACUACGUGCCAGCCGCCGC
rnacentral:rRNA from 1 species